UGGAUGGAAAAGUAAAACUGUAAAAUAUAUUCCCUUCAGGUUCUCCUUUGAAAACAAGACUUCAAGGUAAUUAAAACCAGGCAUGGCAACCACAACACCUUCAUCAUAUCGUAUUGCGAAGAAAAUUACCCGCCACUACAAUCAUAUCUCGUUUUUACGUACAUGUAAGUCUUUGAAAUUAAUACCUAAUGGUCUACGCGCAACAUACUCUUUUGAAAACUUAAAAUAGAGAAGAAUAAUUAAUCAUAGAUAAUAUAGACUGAUUGAUAAUUGUAUCAAUCCCCAAUUUACACUAACCUUACUAUAUAAGACAAUGAAAGUGCAUACAAUGUAUCAUGGAGGAAAAACAAAAGAUUUCAUCGAUGAUAUAAAUAUUGCUUCCUUGCUGACUCAAUUGUGGUGGAACAGUAAGUGAUACCCUUGUUGUUGUACGUGGAGUUCUUAUGAUGAUCUGUGUUUAGCAAACUUGGUUUCUGUCUACUUUUUAAUCCCAGAUUUUGUAUUUUGUGUGGUCAGUUGUAUUUUGAAAAUGAUCCUGUCGAACUAAAGUGUCAGUAUAGUUGAGUAGUUGGUAAUAAGUAACUGCAUCUGGUUGUAGGCAAUGCUACCAAAAAUACAGUCUAUCAUUCCUAUGAAUUCCUAUGAUAUUAUUUAAUAAUCAGGAUUGACUUCUUAAACAUAAUAAUUCAAUUUAUUCUGAUAUAGGGCUCAUAAAAGAAUAUCCCGCUCUUUGACUUAUUUAUUACAGAGGAGAAAAAAAUGAAAGCAGUUGCUCAUCCACAAACCUAACACUGCUCAUUGUCACGGCGGUGGUACUGAUAUUCUUUUUUCUUCCGGUGGGUUUUAUCGUCUACUGGUGUACGAAAAAAAAUUAUCUGCAAUGUCAGGGAGAAGGAUUACUGGGCGCUCCCGCCAGGGCAACGACGAUACAAGCAAUUACAUACAGGUCAGCUCCUGCAAAAUCAAACCUCUUCUUUUCUUAUGAAACUCGUGGAGCUGCUCACUCCUGAAGGUAGGCCAAACUGGAAAGAUCUAGCGGCAAAUUUUGGCGAUUUCGCUUACGAGGAAAUCGCGAACUUCGGAGUUGGCAAAACUACAGUGGAGACCAAAAUCACGUCAACCAUCGACAAAUUAUAUAGAUGUUGUCUCAACAUUAAGAAGGAAGAUGUGGCGACGUACAUUGCCGAUUGUGUAAGCCAAAUAACAGACACUACACUUGUGUAGACAAUUGGCCUUUUUUGACAGGCGAUAUCCGCCGUUUCCUGCAUGCCUAUAUGGGUACCAAGUGAGCACACGACUUCGUUUCGACGUGGAAUUUUGGUUGAACUUUUGU